rnacentral:lncRNA from 1 species
AUUUUAGAGAUUAAUCCCUUGUCAGUUACUUGGUUUGCAAAGACUUUCUCCCAUUCUCUGGGUUGUCUUUCCUUUUUAUAAUGACUUCCUUUGCUGUGCAAAAACUUUUUAAGUUUGGUUAGGUCCCAUUGGUUUAUUUUUGUUUUUAAUUGUCAUUAUUCUAGGAGGUGGAUCAAAUAAGAUAUUACUGCAAUCUAUGUCAAAGAAUGUUCUGCCUAUGUUUUCCUCUAGGAGUUUUAUAGUAUCUGGCCUUAUGUAUAGCUCUUUAACCCAUUUUGAGCUUAUUUUUGUCUAUGGUGUUAGAGAAUGUUCUAAUUUCAUUCUUUUACAUUUGGCUGUCCAGUUUUCCCAGCACCAUUUAUUGAAGAGACAGUCUUUCCUCCAUUGUAUAUUCUUCCCUCCUUUGUCAGAUUAGUUGACCAUAGAUGCUUGUGCAUAUUUCUGCUAUCCUGUUCCACUGAUCCUGUUCCUGUUUUUGUGCUAGUAGCAUCCUGUUUUGAUGACUAGAGCUUUGUAAUAUAGUCUUAGGUCAGGAAGUCUGAUUCCUCCAGUUCCAUUUUUCUUUUUCAAUAUUGCUCUGGCUAUUCAGGGUCUUUUGUGUUUCCAUACAGAUUUUAAAAUAUUUUGUUCUACUUCUGGGAAGACUAUCAUUAGUAAAUAAGGAUUGCAUUGAAUCUGUAGAUUGCCUUGGGUAGAAUAGUCAUUUUGAUAAUAUUGAUUCUUCCAAUCCAAGAGCAUGAUUUAUCUUCCCAUCUGUUUGUGUCAUCUUUGAUUUCUUCCAUCAUGUCUUAUAGUUUUCAGAAUACAGUUUGUUUAUGCAUCUUUAUUGACAUAUAAUAAUGGCACAUAUUUAAGGUGUAAAAUUUAACAAGUUUGGACCCGUGUACAUUCUCAUUGUCAAGUCAAGAUAAUGAACACAUCCAUCAUCUUCAAAAGUUUUCUCAUGCCCUUGGGAAUCCACAUGAACCCACUGUCCUCAGGCAACCAACGGAUCUGCUUUCUGUCACUGUAGAUGUGUUUGCAUUGUCUGAAAUGUCACAGAAAUUGAAUCAUACAAUAUAUACUUUUUUUGGUCUGGUGUCUUUUACACAGCAUAAUUCUUUUAUUUUAGAAUUCACCAUGUUAUUGCAUGUAUAAUAGUUUAUUCUUUUAUUAGUGAGUAUUCUUCCAUUAUAUGACCACGCCCCAGUUCAUUCAUCUGCUCACCAGCUGAUCGACCAUGACCUCCUUGUCCAGUCCUUACUUGAGACAUGAGCUUCUUAUUCCUGUUAAAUAAGUCAGUCAAGGUGGAACUAUAGCUUAUUUUCUCUAAGGUGUGAGGAGAAUGCUAACACCUAGGAUGUGGCGUGGGAGACAUGUCAACACUGAGGGCUGAUUUCGAGCGUGGCAUCGUCCUACAGACCCUCCAUUUCAACAAGAACAGGACCAAGCAGCCAGGGGGUUCCCACGUGGAGAAUGUUCUCUGGGAAGAGAGAAGCCAUCUUUGUGUUUGCUGCUGAUCCCCAAGCCAGGUGUGAAAUUCUCCAGACCUCUGUGGAGCUAAGCUGUUAUUUCUCCUGAUACGUCUCUGUAUCCCAAAGGGAAAAGAAUGUGUGUGAGUGUCACAAAAAUGUGAGAUCUUGCCUUAUGAGAUUCUUAGCAAGAAAUGGUGGCAAAGUUCACAUGAAAAUGCCCUUACUUGAUUUUGCAUGACCUGUCAUGCAAUAACCACAAACCCCAUAUAAUGAACCCAGGAUCAACUCAUAAUUCAAAUGGAUAAUUUGACCCAGCUGUUUAAUGGUCUACCACAAUAAAAGAAUAAUCCUGACAGCUCUAAAGCUAUUUCUAGCACCACUCCUUACCCUAGCACUCACAGCCAACCAUGCCCACAUGUUUCCUAAGGGAAAAGCAAAAUUAGAAGAAGGCAGUCACUCUAUGGGUUUUAACCUCUCUGAUCUCAGGUAAGUCUACUUAUCAGAAGGCUGGUGGCCUAGCCUCAGAAAUUCUACUUUUGACGGCUUCUUCUUGACCAUUCUCUGCCCCGGGGCAGGGGGGAGGAAGAGGGAAGGGCUUCAGAUGACCUUCCAGGCACACGGAAUCAUCUUCUGCCCCUGUUUCUUUCUUUGGACCAAGAAUUUAAUGGAAAAUGAAUUUUAAGGCUGAGAACUCCUACCAUUUUACCGAUGUUAAAGCGAUUGGGGUGGAUGGAGAAGAGCCAGUUGGAGAUAAUGGUACAGCCCUCCCAUUUUAAAAGUCGAUUUGGGGAACAGCCCCACAAGCUCCCUGCCUGGGUAUGUAGAUUGUGUGCCUGAAACAUCUAAGGAAAGGCCGUCCAUCUGAGACGGUCUUCAAGUUUCUGUAAAGCAACCAGGGGUGACUGGACGACCUCAUAAAUUCCCUUCCGGGUCUGACAUUCUGCAAUCUGACGGGAAGAGACUUGGAGAGCCAGAAGCAGUUCUGCAGGGGCAUUCUUUCGAAAGGUGUUUCUCAACAUCUGUUCCAUUUCUGGCUUUAAGUCCACAUACGAGUACGUCAUCACCCUUUCUUCAGUGCUUCAGGUAUGCGGCGUGUUACCAUCUGAAGGCCCGCUCCCUGAAGGCCUUGGGCUGUCUUGUUCACCUGUGUGGCUCUAGAACCCAGUACGGUGCCUGGCACCAGGUAGGGAUUCAGUUCAAGGUUACCCAAGAGUGAUUCGAGAAAUUCCCUGGAUGGAUUGAUGAAUGGACGGAUGGACGGAUAGAUGGGUGGAUGGACAGUGUCUGACGCUGGGACGAGGGGGUGAAAUAACUCAGGAAGACGGUGUGGCCCCUUGGGAGUAAGAGGAAGGGACAGCUGGAAUCCAGUGGAAAACUCGGAAGAGUUUGGCAGAAGGACCGAAGUGCAACCUCUCCAUCACAGUCGCUGAGGGGUCUGCCCUGGGUGGGGUCUCUCCACAGCUCUCAGUUUCUUACAUGAUGGCCUAGUAUCUGCCCGUCUGAGGGAUUUUGUCUGUGUCACCACCUUUCAGCUCUCAGGUAAAUUACCCUCCAGGACCUAAGCUCCGUGAGCAGGAAUCUUUGUUUUGAGUAGUUUUAUGUGUAUCUUCCGUAUAUUUAUUAUAAAUACAGCAUAUUUCAAGGGUCUAGAACAGUGCCUGGCACUUAAUAGAUACCCGUUGUAUAUUUGCUGAAUAAAUGGAUAAAUUCAGAAGGAGAAACUCACACUAAGUCUGAGGUGAGAGCCAUUACUUUCUGACCAACUCAGUACUUUUCGUGGUUUGGAGCGGUUGCAAAUUUUGAAAACCCAAGGCUCAGGUGAAUGGAUGACACGAACAAACUCUCCGAAGAAAAGCAGUGAAGCCGCAGCGCUAGCUGCCCGGGCGCCGGGCCCAGCCUUGCCCCUUAGGAGCUGUGUGCUCAGGGACCUGCACGCCCCGCCACUGUGUGAGCUUAAUGACAGCCCCUUCCUCUCAGGGUUUUUAUGAGGGCUAAGUCAGUCAAUAGGUAAAAAACAUGUAGAAAAGAGCCUGGUGCAUCCUCUAGAUGCCGUAUGUGCUGUGUUCAUUAAGGUUUGUCCGGAUCCCUUGAAUUUGCUGAGGUCGUGUGCAGUUACUGGGGGGAGGAGAGGGUGGAAUCCUUUUAGCAGUACGGCCCAGGCAUUCCUGGGUGAUCAUCAGAUGGCUUCGCUCCUUCGUAGCCCCAGUGGGUCAGCCGGAUAGCAGCUCUAACACCCUGCAAAAAUGUUUGCACUUACUCCUCUUUCUGCAGAAACCCAGCGCCGUGGAGAUGAAUCAAAUGCACAUAUCAAGUUAUAAUCCACUGUCUUAAUUAAAGCUGAAACAUGGCCAAGAAUUUCCCUCCCUAAGAAAGUCCCCACUGAAAAGGUAAACGCGGGUCAACUCUUUUGUCUCCACCAGGAAAGGCUUGCUGGCCCAUCACAGCCAUCGGCGCCCCAGGCUGUGGCUCCUCUAGGUUCAGGGAUUCAGUCCCUGUUGGAGGGGCCAAAGUCGCUGUGCGUUCUGCUGCACUGCAGGUUUGCUCUCUGGUCACUUCUCAGAGGAUGACGCUAGGAGGCAGGGACUGUCCUCCAGACCCAUCUGCACUCCGUCUGGCCCUGCGCGGUCACUAACAGGGGCUCCAUGCCCCAUCCAACAAUCUCACACAGGAAACUGGGCUGAAAAUCAGGGCUACAAAGGAGCUACAAGGGAGACAAAGGAGCAGAGCACAGAGGCGUGACAGGCCUUGGAGCCAGCGAGUGUUGGGGUGGGGCGGAGGGGGGCAGUUACUAAUCCCCCUGAGCGAAGGGGGCCAGCUUGGUCCAGUUUCAGCCCCAGUGGCCCUGAGCAGUCCUUGGACCUCAGAGUACAUGGGUUUGUGUUCUGCCUCUCCAAGAAUACUCAGCACAUUCUGAAAGAAAUAAGAAAAGCGACCAAAAAAAAAAGAUUUAUAGACCUAAACCCUUUAAAGCUUAUAUAAGGCUAUAUAAAAAGAUGUCCACUCAGGCACAGAGCCAGGAACUCUCUAGACAACUUCUUUAUUUAAAUACAUUUUGGCAAGUGUAUAUAAUGAUGAUAUAGAUUUAGUGACAGGGAAAAGAGUUCACUACGUGAUCAGUCUUUUUAAAGUAGUGAAAAUGUGUGUAUUUUCCCGUCAUGGCUCAGUGGAAACGAAUCAGACUAGUAUUCAUGAGGACGAAGGUUCAAUCCCUGGCCUCGCUCAGUGGGUUAAGGAUCCAGCAUUGCCAUGAGCUGUGGUGUAGGUCGCAGACGUGGCUCAGAUCGGGCGUUGCUGUGGCUGUGGUGUAGGCCAGCAGCUACAGCUCUGAUUCGACCCCUAGCCUGGGAACUUCCACAUGCUGCAAGUGCAGCCCUAAAAUGAUAAAAUGUAAAAAAAAAAAUUUUUUUUAAUAAAAAA